ensembl:snoRNA
AAGCAGCAGUUAUCCCUUUCCAGUCUGGCUUGUGAGACUCUACAGGGAGUCAAUCUGCAAGAGUAAGUGGUUAGUUCUUUGGUCUGGCAUCAGUGUUUUCAUGGUGACUUUGGAGUUGCCAUAUAUUA